AUUGAACGCUGGCGGCAGGCCUAACACAUGCAAGUCGAACGAGUGGCGGACGGGUGAGUAAUGUAUGGGGAUCUGCCCGAUAGAGGGGGAUAACUACUGGAAACGGUGGCUAAUACCGCAUACUAUCGGCUGAACCCAUAUGGGAUUAGCUAUUAGGUGGGGUAAAGGCUCACCUAGGCGACGAUCUCUAGCUGGUCUGAGAGGAUGAUCAGCCCAACUGGGACGUGGACACUGCCUAGACUCCUACGGGGGGCAGGAGUGGGGAAUAUUGGACAAUUGGCGCAAGCCUGAAGCAGCCAUGCCGGGUGUAUGAAGAAGGCCUUAGGGGUGUAAAGUACUUUCAGCGGGGAGGCGUUACCCGCAGAAGGAGCACCGGCUAACUCCGUGCCAGCAGCCGCGGUAAUAC
rnacentral:rRNA from 1 species